rnacentral:rRNA from 1 species
CUAAGCAUCAGGUAACAUCAAAUCGUACCCCAAACCGACACAGGUGGUCAGGUAGAGAAUACCAAGGCGCUUGAGAGAACUCGGGUGAAGGAACUAGGCAAAAUGGUGCCGUAACUUCGGGAGAAGGCACGCUGACACGUAGGUGAAGUGAUUUACUCAUGGAGCUGAAGUCAGUCGAAGAUACCAGCUGGCUGCAACUGUUUAUUAAAAACACAGCACUGUGCAAACACGAAAGUGGACGUAUACGGUGUGACGCCUGCCCGGUGCCGGAAGGUUAAUUGAUGGGGUCAGCGCAAGCGAAGCUCCUGAUCGAA